rfam:Myotis davidii contig92650, whole genome shotgun sequence.
AGGUCCACAGAGAGAGGCAGGGUUUGAUCUGCAGCCUCCGUGGCAGCUGUUGAUCAGCUGUUGCCUCUCUCUUUCUCUCCA